CAAUAGCGUAUAUUAAAGUUGUUGCGGUUAAAAAGCUCGUAGUUGGAUUUCUGUCUAAGAAGACCGGUCCGCCCUGCGGGCGUGCAUCUGGCUCAACUUGGGCAUCUUCUUGGAGAACGUGAGUGCACUUGACUGUGUGGCACGGUAUCCAGGACUUUACUUGAGGAAAUUAGAGUGUUUCAAGCAGGCCUAGUCCUUGAAUACAUUAGCAUGGAAUAAUAAGAUAGGACCUCGGUUUCUAUUUUGUUGGUUUCUAGAGCUGAGGUAAUGAUUAAUAGGGACAGUUGGGGACAUUUAUAUUCCAUGGUUAGAGGUGAAAUUCUUGGAUUCAUGGAAGAUAAACUACUGCGAAAGCAUUUGUCAAAGAUGUUUUCAUUGAUCAAGAACGAAAGUUGAGGGAGCAAAGACGAUUAGAUACCA
rnacentral:rRNA from 1 species